GGUAUUGGCCCUUGGACUCCCCUGGCACCUCGUGUACAGCAUGAAGUUUUCUGCUAUGAAGAUUUCCAGAGACUCCAGAAUGAGAACCAAGCCCUGAGGGAUGAGAACCAAGCCCUGAGGGAUGAGAACCAAGCCCUGAGGGAUGAGAACCAAGCCCUGAGGGAAAGCAAUGCACCAGCAGCUUCGGAUGACAGCGGAUCACUUCAGGAGCAGGUGAAGCAAGUUGGGACAAUGUUAAAGACGUUUGCUCGC